AUUGAUCGAAGAGAAAUGUUUUAUAUGCUAGCUCUUUGUUAUCAUGGUGCUGGUGAGGAUUUGGCUUCUCUGAACCUGCUUAGGAAAUUAUUACAGAGUAGAGAGGAUCCGAAGUGUAUUCCUGCCUUAUUAUUGGCAUCAAAGGUUUGUGUAAAUAUCCCUAAACUUGCAGAAGAAGGACUAAAUUAUUCUCGCAUAGCCCUUGAAAACUUGGAAAGUGGAUGUGAAAAAUUGGAAAGUAUUGCUAAUUGUUUACUGGGGGUCUCACUUUCAGCACUUUCUAAAUCA
rnacentral:misc_RNA from 1 species